rnacentral:rRNA from 1 species
GGAAUAUUGGGCAAUGGGCGAAAGCCUGACCCAGCAACGCCGCGUGAGGGAAGAAGGGUUUCGGCUCGUAAACCUCUGUCCUAUGGGACGAAGGAAGUGACGGUACCAUAGGAGGAAGCCCCGGCUAACUACGUGCCAGCAGCCGCGGUAAUACGUAGGGGGCGAGCGUUGUCCGGAAUGAUUGGGCGUAAAGGGCGCGUAGGCGGCCUGAUAAGUCUGGAGUGAAAGUCCUGCUUUCAAGGUGGGAAUUGCUUUGGAUACUGUCGGGCUGGAGUACAGGAGAGGAAAGCGGAAUUACCAGUGUAGCGGUGAAAUGCGUAGAGAUUGGUAGGAACACCAGUGGCGAAGGCGGCUUUCUGGACUGAAACUGACGCUGAGGCGCGAAAGCGUGGGGAGCAAACA